rnacentral:lncRNA from 11 species
CAGGGGUGGCCUUGUUUCCAGAAAGCGCCACUUUCUCCUGACGUUUCAACCCACAUCUGUGGGCAGGCGUUGUGAGGUGUGUUGAGAACGAGGCAAAGUGGGUUUUGUAUAUCUAUGGAAUAAUGUCCAGGGUGGGAGAAAGAAUUCUGUCUCUUUGACAGAAGAGAAUGAUUCUGGGACAUGAGGGUGCCUGCCAUGGAUGUGGGCGAAACAUCAGGAGAGAAUGCUUCUGGGACAUGAGGGUGCCUGCCAUAGAUGUGGGCAAAACAUCAGGAGAGAAUGCUUCUCAAACAUGGCCAGACAGCCCAGAAAACUCACAACAACCUACUGAUUCUGGGCAUGAAAGCCUUCGACAACACAAUAAUAAUAAUAAUAAUAAUAAUUACUUCCGUAGGUUCUAUGCAGAGGAGCGACAGGAGAUCAGCAGGCUUUCUUUUCAUAUAUAUAUAUAUUUCUUUUGUUAUUGUUGUCGUUGUUGUUUAAAAAGAAAAAAAAAAAAGAAACAGGUUAAACACAUUAGUCUCAGAUGCACUUUUUGA